GACGUAGGGCGCGAGCGUUGUCCGGAUUUAUUGGGCGUAAAGAGCUCGUAGGCGGCUUGUCACGUCGGGUGUGAAAGCCCGGGGCUUAACCCCGGGUCUGCAUUCGAUACGGGCUGGCUAGAGUGUGGUAGGGGAGAUCGGAAUUCCUGGUGUAGCGGUGAAAUGCGCAGAUAUCAGGAGGAACACCAAUUGCGAAGGCAGCUCGCUGGGACGUUACUGACGCUGAGGAGCGAAAGCGUGGGUAGCAAACAGG
rnacentral:rRNA from 1 species